UGGGGAAUAUUGGACAAUGGGGGCAACCCUGAUCCAGCGAUGCCGCGUGGGUGAAGAAGGCCUUCGGGUUGUAAAGCCCUUUAGGUUGGGAAGAGGUGUAGUAGCUGAUAAGGUUAUUACAUUGAAGGUACCGACAGAAUAAGCACCGGCAAACUCUGUUCCAGCAGCCGCGGUAAUACAGAGGGUGCAAGCGUUAAUCGGAGUUACUGGGCGUAAAGGGCGCGUAGGCGGUGAGAUGUGUGUGAUGUGAAAGCCCUGGGCUUAACCUGGGAAGUGCAUCGCAAACUAUCUGACUGGAGUAUAUGAGAGGGUGGCGGAAUUUCCGGUGUAGCGGUGAAAUGCGUAGAGAUCGGAAGGAACGUCAAUGGCGAAGGCAGCCACCUGGCAUAAUACUGACGCUGAGGCGCGAAAGCGUGGGGAGCGAAC
rnacentral:rRNA from 1 species